rnacentral:rRNA from 1 species
CCUACGGGUGGCAGCAGUGGGGAAUAUUGCGCAAUGGGCGAAAGCCUGACGCAGCGACGCCGCGUGUGGGAUGAAGGUCUUCGGAUCGUAAACCUCUGUCAGCAGGGAAGAACGGUCACUGUGCUAAUCAGCAGUGAAUUGACGGUACCUGCAAAGGAAGCACCGGCUAACUCCGUGCCAGCAGCCGCGGUAAUACGGAGGGUGCGAGCGUUAAUCGGAAUUACUGGGCGUAAAGCGCUCGUAGGCGGUAUGUCAAGUCAAGGGUGAAAUCCCCGCGCUCAACGUGGGAACUGCCUUUGAAACUGGCAAACUUGAGUGUGGGAGAGGGUAGUAGAAUUCCAGGUGUAGGAGUGAAAUCCGUAGAGAUCUGGAGGAACAUCAGUGGCGAAGGCGACUAUCUGGCAGAUGACUGACGCUGAGGUGCGAAAGCGUGGGGAGCAAACAGGAUUAGAUACCCGUGUAGUC